rnacentral:rRNA from 1 species
UACGGGGGGGGGCAAGCGUUUGUUCGGAAUUACUGGGCGUAAAGGGCUCGUAGGCGGCCAACUAAGUCAGACGUGAAAUCCCUCGGCUUAACCGGGGAACUGCGUCUGAUACUGGAUGGCUUGAAUUCGGGAGAGGGAUGCGGAAUUCCAGGUGUAGCGGUGAAAUGCGUAGAUAUCUGGAGGAACACCGGUGGCGAAGGCGGCAUCCUGGACCAACACUGACGCUGAGGAGCGAAAGCCAGGGGAGCAAACGGG